rnacentral:rRNA from 1 species
ACUCUCGGCAACGGAUAUCUCGGCUCACGCAUCGAUGAAGAACGUAGCAAAAUGCGAUACUUGGUGUGAAUUGCAGAAUCCCGUGAACCAUCGAGUUUUUGAACGCAAGUUGCGCCCGAAGCCAUUCGGCCGAGGGCACGUCUGCCUGGGCGUCACACAUCGUGUCGC